rnacentral:snRNA from 1 species
AUACUUACCUGGAUGGGGUCAAUGAGCGAUCAAUAAGACUCAUGGCCUAGGUUGGUGACCUUCAAUGCACUUUGGAGGGGUGUCCGCCUAAUGUCUACUCAAGUGGUCGAGCCUACGUCAUAAUUUGUGGCAGCGGGGCCCUGCGUUCGCGCGGCCCCUAC